GAUGAACGCUGGCGGCGUGCCUAAUACAUGCAAGUCGAGCGAACAGACGAGGAGCUUGCUCCUCUGACGUUAGCGGCGGACGGGUGAGUAACACGUGGAUAACCUACCUCUAAGACUGGGAUAACUUCGGGAAACCGGAGCUAAUACCGGAUAAUAUAUUGAACCGCAUGGUUCAAUAGUUCAAGACGGUUUUGCUGUCACUUAUAGCUGGAUCCGCGCCGCAUUAGCUAGUUGGUAAGGUAACGGCUUACCAAGGCGACGAUGCGUAGCCGACCUGAGAGGGUGAUCGGCCACACUGGAACUGAGACACGGUCCAGACUCCUACGGGAGGCAGCAGUAGGGAAUCUUCCGCAAUGGGCGAAAGCCUGACGGAGCAACGCCGCGUGAGUGAUGAAGGUCUUCGGAUCGUAAAACUCUGUUAUUAGGGAAGAACAAAUGUGUAAGUAACUAUGCACGUCUUGACGGUACCUAAUCAGAAAGCCACGGCUAACUACGUG
rnacentral:rRNA from 1 species